UACGAAGGGGGCUAGCGUUGUUCGGAAUUACUGGGCGUAAAGCGCGCGCAGGCGGUUUUUCAAGUCAGUGGUGAAAGCCCGGAGCUCAACUCCGGAAAUGCCAUUGAAACUGUAAAACUUGAGGACGAGAGAGGUGAGUGGAAUUCCCAGUGUAGAGGUGAAAUUCGUAGAUAUUGGGAAGAACACCGGUGGCGAAGGCGGCUCACUGGCUCGUUUCUGACGCUCAGGCGCGAUAGCGUGGGGAGCAAACGGG
rnacentral:rRNA from 1 species